UCCGGGGUUUGUGACGACCUGUGCUCCGAGUCUAUCUUUCCUACGGUUCCCAGAGGAAGUAGACUGCAAUUGCCUCCCCUUCUUUGUUUAGAAGGCUGCCCCCAGGAUCUUCGGGAGAUAUAUGGAGAGCCUGGGCUUAAGUGACACCUCGAGAUGGCACAGAUGGGGCUUUGGGGCAUUCUCUGUGUGAGACAAGGAACAAAGAGAAUAUUGGAGACCGCAGUGCGUGCUGGGACCAUUUGCUCAGGAGGACCACAUUUGUCACAUCCACUGCAGGGAGAAAUGUGUUUAAUGUUUGCUCAGUGAAGACAGCUGGAUUCUCAGAACCACAUCCGGAUCCAAUCUGUCACAAUGUGCUGUUGUGUUUGAAGUAUAGGAAGAGAAUGUGGCUCCCCACAGAUCCGGAGUUGGAAAACAGAUGAGUAUUUUGAGUGUUUUUCUAGCUUUUAAAGGAGUGAUUGUAAGCUUUCUGCUUUGACAGAAAACAAGUCAACAAGGGGCUGGUUUUUAAAGGUCACCUGCGAUGCGGGACGGGAAGUUUCAGAUAACUUUUCCUCUUUUGGUCCAUAAAGAUCCGUCCUUCAGAUGGACUUCUUCCCCCGCGCCACCCCGUGGGUUGGGUCCGGCCAGGCUGUGCAUGUCUGUCCCCCUGCUCUUCACGGUUCUACCCGUGUCACUAAUAUCACACUCGCUGAUCACGCCACCUGCUGGUCAGGAGUUCUGGGCAGCUGCCAGGCUCAUGCUGGGGGUCAUGUGUCCCCAGAUCUCACGUUUGCUGGGAAGCCAGGUCUCCGUGAUUGGCUACAAGCACUGCGGUGUUCGGAACAGAAACUUGGCUCCGCACGUUUUGUGGCAAUGUUGGCAGUGCCCAGGUCUGAAUGACAGCCUUUGUCUCAGCCGUGCCUACCCAUGUCGUGUCCCUCCAGCUCUGCCUGAGAUCCAUGCUCACCUUGGUUUGUAACCGGUCCACUGCUCCCGUUUGAGGAUUUUAAGUGAAUAGUUCUGCGCUGCUCUGUGCCCUGUGCCCUGUGCCCUCUUCUGCUGUACGUGGAUGUCCCUGUCACAGCAGAUACCCUGCGGGUUGGUGGUGGGGCUCUGCCCUCCAGGCUGAGGGGGCCAGGAGGAGGGGGCCUCUUCCAGCCUGUGGCUUCAGCAUCUGCCACAAGAAGCUUCGUGGCUGCUUCUACCCAGAAGAGGGCUGCAGGGCUUCACACAGAGAUGGGGCACCCUGGUAGGAAGGGCUCCGUGCCGCGUCUGCUCCUGUGGGAGGACCGCCCCGCCUCCCUGUGCAGUGAGGGAGCCCGUGGUCUGCCCUCCUGCCUGCCUGGACAGCUGGGCGCUUUGUGGCUCAGUCCUUCCUGGGAGGAGGUUGGUGCUCAGCCGCUCAGACUGGCCACCCCAGCCCGUGGCCACUCUCUCCCGCUGAGCGCCAUCCCUUCUGUGCCUGCCAUUGUCAUCCAUGUCCCUGUUGGUCCUGACUGUGUGCCUGACUAUGUGCCUGUCUGAGGAGCAGCUCAGGUCUCUCCUCCUGCACCUGCUGGAUGGCCAUGUGGGUGACAUGUGGCUCUCCCGUCUGGAGUUUCCAUCUGCCCCAGGGGGAGCUCCUUCUCCCUUCUGGGCCUCAGUUUACCCUCUCUGUGUGGGAGGAGUCAGCUGACAACUGGUGGGUGGGUCCCGCUGUCCCUGUCAGAUCAUGGAGCUGCCUGGUGAGUCAUACAGCGGGGAUUCAGAGUGUCCUGUGAGUGCUGCUGGCUGUGAGUGUCCUGUCGGGCGGUGCUGCCUCUCUCUGUCUCUCAGAGUAUUUAUUUUGGUUUACACUCUGGCAGUUAAGCUAGGUUGCAUCAACUUGAAUGGCUUGGGAGCCGCUUGGAGGAUCAGCCGCUUGGAGGGCCACUUCUAGGUGGUCAUGGAGACAUGAUCUUGGGUGCUAUACGCAGUCUCCAGCCCCUUCUCUCUGGUGCUGUCCCCUGCUCUGCGUCCUGGCCUUUCUGAAUUAGCACCCCUUGUCCUCCACACUCUUCCACCAUGAUGCUUCUAAGUCAGCCGACCAUGGACUGAACCCCUGAUACCCUGAGCCAAACUAGACCUGUCCUGCUUUAAGCUAAGGAGUCAGGAGUUGAGUUAGGAAAUGCAUACUUCCAGCACCUGCCUUCCUGGGGCUGCUUGAACACAGGCCCCUGAGCUGCCAGGACUGCAGUCCCACAGGGGCUCUGCUCUGCUGCAGUGAAGACCCAAGCUGCAGUGCUCCAGGGAGGGUGAGUGGCUGUCCCUAUGGUCACCAUGCUGACUGUGUGUGGUCAGGCCACACCUAUCCAUUUAGCACAGAGGCCUGAGGCUGCCUGGAUUCUCCUGGAAGCUCACCUGGGUGCCCUGUGCCACGGGGCACUCCUGUCCCCUUCUCUGCAUGGGAGCCAGUCAGGUUUAGCCUGGCCUUUGUGGAUGUGGGAGUCUGGUCAUCACUCAGGGGCCAGACCCUGUCCUGGCUGGAUUUCCGGGGUGCAGAGGAAGAUCAGUGCCCGGGAAGUAAUGGUCCCCAGCAGCAUACACUGUGGCCAGCACUGAGGCCAUGGACACCAGAGGUUGGGUGGCCUGAAAUCAUUCAGGACCCUUGAAAUGCAGGUUCUCAGGACUCAGCCCAGACAUGUGGGGGCCCCAGGCUUUAGGUGGGUCUGGGAAUCUCCACAUCUGGGUGACCGGAAGCAGGCAGGCACACUGCCCUAGGGGGCUGACCUGGAGUAGGGCACUGACCACUACGGUGUCUGUAUCUGCCCAACUUGCAUCUUUGCUGCGGCCAGCGUUCCUGCUCCUGUGGCUUCCCUUGUGUAGGUUCAGAGGAUGCCCAGGCUGUGCCUUCUGCCCCCUGGCUGACCUCUUUGGCACGCUUUUGGGUUUUGUGUUCUAGCAGGAGAGGAGGCAGGCACCGUCUGAGAGAUGGGAGCAUGUGUUUAUGUCAGAUCUCUGCUGCUCAUGGACGGCCUUCCCUGGGGACUCCUGUGCCCAGUGCUCUGGGGAUGCGAUGCUGUCCCUUCCCUCUGCUCCGCAUAUGCUGAGCACGUCCUGCCUGUGCAGGAGAUGCCCGUUGAGAUGGAGAAAGAGUCCACAGGAGCCCGGGGCCUCACCGCCUGGCAGCCCGCUGAGGGAGGGUUGGCUUCCCAGCUGCCCCGCUGCCCCCCUGCCCAGCUGCUGCCUGGACCCCUGCCGUUGCUCCUCUCCUAAACAAGCCCUGUUCGAGGUUUCCCUGCUGUCCGAAGAGAGGUCAGGGACGGAGCUGCUUCCAAGCACAGAGCUGGGGUCUAGGGUGCAUCUCCAGCACAGGGAUUUGCUCCUGUCUGUGAGUCUCCCCUGCCUGGCCCCUCAGAACACACUGCGGCCCACUGGUGGCUACACCUGCGGUCCAAGGCUGCGGGCCGCUGGGAGGGGACAGCUCCUAUGGCUGCUACCUCCUCCAGUUUCCAUCGGCGAUGGCCACAGUGACCUUGUCCCCUGCACCAGGGUGAGCUCCACACUCCUCCUCGAGGCUGGCUGCUUUUUGAGGUCCUCAGCCCUGGAGACCCCUUUUCUCAUGUGUUUGGGAGGACGUGGCACAGAGAGGAAGAGGGGAGAGGUCACCGGCUGCCUUUGCUGCUCAGGAAUCUUCCCAGAGCCUUGGGAAAAGUGCUUUUCCUGGAUGCAGGGAUUCUCCGGACAGGGAAAUGCUGUCCUCCUUUAGAUUUUCCAGAGCCACUCUUUCCCUUCCCUCUGCUCAUCCAUGUGCUCAGAAGGCCCAAGUUUCACGGGAUUACUGUAAACCCAGGGCCCUUGCCUGCCUCUGAUCCUGGAGCUCGAGACUGGCUCAUGGCUCAGUCCCGAGGCCGCGUGGGUUCUCUAGGGGAGGCCGAGCAUCCUGGACCUGCAGCGAGGCAAAGCCUCCAGGUUGAGGCUCCCCAGGGUGUGCGCAGCACCUCCUCAGCUGCCCUCUCCCCGUCCCUUCCCCCCUCUCUCCCUGGGUCCUGCCCUGGCCUGAGCCAUUUUCUGAGGGUGCUCUUUGCCAUCCAGAAGGAUCCUUCCAGAAGUUUGGCUCCAGGAAGCUCUGCCCACGGAAAGCAUGUUGGGGUCCCCAGCUCUCCGAGCCGGGUGCAGAUCAGUCCAUGUUUCCAAGGCUCCCUUUCCCCCUUCUGUCAUCUGAAGCUGGGCUACAUGUAUCCCUGCUCUGCCCAGAUGUGGCCUCCAGCUCUCUGAGAUGAGCUGGAGCCUCCUGAACCCGAGGGGGACCCAGGGACACGGAGUCCAUCCCUGUGGCUGAGCAAGGCCUCGGCGCUGCGGAAGGGGCGUUAAUGCUCAUGUUGUGUGGGGAAAACAGCCUGGGAGAGAGGCUCGCCUGCAAUUUCAUGUAACUAAAUGUCAUCCCACGCCGCCCGGAGGGUCGGGGCUGGGCCGAGAGGGAUGAGGGGGAUUGUACAACCUGGCUCAUCACCCUCAGCUCCUAUUUAUCAUAAAAUCAUUUACAGCACCAUAAAACGUGUUAAUAUGGGCAGCUGGUGAUGUAUGUCUUUGAUUUAGGAGCUGACAUUUCUGUCCAGUGGCUGCUCAGCGUGGGGCCUGAAGCCCCGGGCAGAGACAGCAGAAGUAAUCACACCCACCUCGGUGGUUGCUGGUGGUGACCAGCUGGGCUCACAGGCCUCUCUGCGGGGAGCCUGCAGGGGUGAGGUGGGGGAGUGCAGUGCCUCUGGGUGCUCAGCAUGUGGGGCGGGGCCGGAUCCCAUGCAGCUACUGAGGGCCAGGCUGAGUGGAAGGCUGGGCCGACUGACCUGCCUUCCUCUCCUAGGAAGUGGACUUACAAUUUAAAUAAUGAGACAAGCCCAGUGUGACCCCCUCAGAGGGCGCUGGCUGCAGUCAGAGCACAACUAUCUCAACACACUCUUUAUUGAGCACCUGCUAUGUGCCUGGGCCAAAGGAAGCCGUGUGCAAGCCGUGGACUAUGCUCCUGGCCACAGAAUUGGGCCUCCUUCCAGAUGGGUCGAGGGCAGAUGGGAGAGGAAAGGGUGCAGGGGGUGUCUGCAGCCCUCUGCCCCACCUUCCGCCAGUGCUCACACGUCUCCUGAGUUCCUGUCCCUCAAAGGGGUGAGUCAGCCACUUGGAAAGGCCCACUGCAGACAAAUGACCCGGAAACAUGGACACAGCGUCUAGGUGGCUUUGGGACUAGAGGAUCCCCACAAACUUGGGUCUCCAUUUGCGGGAAAUUUACUCCUAAGAAGCUCGCCCUCUCUAUCUCCCCACUUGCCUUCCGCUCCUCUCCAGGCUGGUUCUCCACCCUUACCACGGGCUUGUUUUUGUUAAUUUGAAAGGUAAACGCCAAUGCCCCGUGGAACUCUGUCCCCCACCCCAGUUUAUUAAAAAAGUUAAAGGCCUCGCAAAUCAUUUCUACGGGCAAUUAAAUGCCCUGGUGUGCACACGGGGGCUCAGCUGGCAGAGGCUCCAGGCUGGAUCGGGUCUGUUUCCCGGGUGCACCCGCCCCCAUCCCCACUGGACCCCCAGCCACGCCCUGGGACCCCGAGAUAAGCGUUUCCAUACAUCAAUCUCAGGAGGAGUGCGGUUUAUAUUCUGGGCACCGAGCAUUUUUAUUUGCCAAUAUUUUUUGGUCUCCGUGAGAACUGUCGGUUCAUAACUUUCAUUAUUGCGCAGUGUUAUUUACAGAUCCCGGCGUCAGGGAAACCAGCUGGGGGAAUAUUUGUUCGCACGGCCCAGGCCCCCGCCUCCCCCGAAAGCUCUACAUAAACUUUCCGCCAAAUCUGAAGGCCAACAUCCAUCAGGCUCCGGCACGAGUGUGAGGUGGAGAGGCGGUUUCAUUCUCGUUUUCGGAACAUUUCCUCUUCAGUUUGCAGUGUCCAGCCUCCUCCCGAAGGACCCACCAGGGUGGACCCCAGACAUCAUUUCCAGAUGGGCGGCUCCAGGGCCAUUCUGCUGCUGUGUCCAUGGGCAACCUGGCCCAGCUACUCCAGCUCCUCGGGGGCCUCCCAUUCAAAGAGGGUCAUGUCCAUCAGGGUCAUGCAGAGAUUAUCAGCUUUAAACCCAGUGUGGAAGCCAGCGCCCCAACAGCGUGUUUCCCAAGGUGUAGAUGGAUUCACAUGGGCAGUCUUACAAGACCCCAGUGUAAGCCAUCCAUGUGAUCUCUGAGCUGCACAUAAAACAGAACAGGCUGAGAGAUGGGGACUUGCCCUGAACAUCCGAGAUGUAUGGCCACACUGGUCGCGUGAUCCCCACGGGGACUGCAGCUGACUGUCCCUGUGUAGCAGCUGUGGGUGGACAGCUGACCUUGCCAUCUCUGGGGUGAGCCUCCUCCUGCAUCCCGAGUCCACUCCAGAGGCAGCUCAGCUGGCCCCAUGAUCCCUCGCCCUCCCCCACCUGGAGACCCGGUGGCACAGGGACAGGAAGCCCACUCCUGACGUGAGAACCAACUCGGGGUUCUGGGGAGACUGUCUCACACACACGGGGUGCACUGUGGGCAGGAUGUGGAGUGUGGGGGUGGGACACACAUGGAACUCAGCACAGUGAGCGAUGUGAGGAGGAGCCUGCUCCGUAGGGGUGGGGGUGGCCCUCCAGUGGGGCUCCUGGACAAGCGCUGGGCACCGCCCCAUCUUUCCUCUGUUCACAGCAGUGUGAAUGGCACACCCUGCCCUCAUCCCGCUUUCAGGCCCCAGCAAGAUUUCCCCAGAGGAGCAGGGCUGCUUCCUGACCUGACCUGCUGAGGAGGGUGGGCCCCUGAGGGAACUCUCAGGACGAGGAGGUGCAGGGGCCCCAGGGGAGCUGAGACCUGCUGGAGCCCCUUCUGUGCUGCUGUCCGUCACUCAGAGGGGCAGCUGACAGCAGGUGGCGCUGCCCUGGGGCCCCUGGUGUGGGUGAGGGAGAUCCCCCCCCCCAUGGGGGGCCGGGUCCAGUGUCAUCGAGGAUUCUCCGAGGGUGGGGUUUCUGGUGCAGGUGGGGGCUCCCUCAGGGAUGGCUGGGCCCUGGCUGGGCUGCCCUAGGCUUGCUGCUGUCGUACAGGGUCGGAGGCCAGGCGCAGAGUAGGAAGCUCUGUGGUGAGUCCGCCGGCCCUGGCAAUGCGGGGCCCAUGCUCACACAAGCUUUGCUCCCAAGAUUGUUUCGAGAUAAUAGUGCGACUUCUAUGAGUGAGACUUCUAGGAGGUUCCAUUCGGGGUGGACAGGAUGGAGAAGGAGAAGGAGGCGUCCUCCCGGCCGGUCACCGUGGACGAGGUGUCUGUCUGUGGUAACUGUUUCUGGAUGCUCCAAGGUGGGGAGCCCUUGUGCGCCAGGGCUCACACACCACCUGUGCUUUGACAGCACGGUGGGAGGUGUGGGGGUGCUGUGCCAUUAGCCCCACAAGUCCCUGCUCCGUGGCAUCGUCUGGGAGGGGUCACCCCACGAGGCCUGUGGGCAGAGGACGGCGGCUCUUGGCUCUGCUCCCGUUCCCCUGUACCAGCUUGCUCUCUGCCCCUUGUCCCUGGCGUCUUCUGCCCACAUGUCCAUCGGGCACCCUCUCCCUCCCCUAGUUCCUGCGUCCUCUUAGCUCAGGUCGGGUUUGGGGGCGGCAUCUGCCUUUAGAGCAAAGCACAGCCUUGGCGGUGUGGAGUGGGCAUCAGGUUCCCACGGAGCCAGGCUGCGCCACCUGGCCCCCUUCGGGCCCCACCUCCAGGGCUGGCUCCCCGGCUCCUUGUGCUUCCUCGGGAGCUGAGAUGAAUGGAGACAGAGGAAUGGGCACAGGCAGUGGGGGUGGUGGCCAGGGUUGGGGCCACCUCCCCUUCCCUGUGUCCUGCAGGGAGGCCGGGCGCCCUCCCCGCCGCCUCUUCCUCGUGGCUUUCCUGUCUUGAAACCUCCAGCCCUGGCCGGAUUCCACCUCAUGCUCUUUCUCGAGGCUGCUGACCCUGGAGCAACUCAUGAGAAGCCACUCCGAGAGCCUCUGUAGAGCUGGGAAACUGUCACCACAAUCCAUUUCAGAGUAUUUUCUUUGCCUCCAAAGAAUCGUCGCACCUCUCAGCGUCACCCAAGGUUUCUCCCAAAUCCCUGGCAGCGGCGCCAAGCAUGGAGUGUCCAUCUCCAUGGACUGCCGUUCCGGUUCUGGAUGCGCAUCUCAGGCUGUCCUGGCUGCCGUGACCCAGCUCCUCACAGAGAAAGGUGUGACAGCCGGGUUUAUUCCCCCCGGGCCUGCAGGCAGCAGGGCGGGGCCCAGUGGCGGCUGUGUGGACUGCACCUUCUCUCCAUCUUGCUGUGGCCUCCCUUAUGAAGACAGGGAUGUCAUUCACAAGGGGACAGCCUGAGUCAAGGAACAAAAAGCGUGAACCAGAAAAGAGGAAAGUACUCACCGCUGUUGAAGAUGAAACUCAGUGUCCAGAGAUGCUGUAGCUAAGGACAAACAGGGGUCACGGGCUGGGCACCAGGUACCGGUGGUGCCAGAGCUGGCGGAUGUGGUGCCCAGUCUUAAUGACCCUUCAGACCUGGCCUUGAGGCAAAUGACCGCCAGGAAGGGUCAGCUCCGAGGAGAGGAGUGUGCAGGACUGCGAUCAGCAGUGUGCGAAGUGAACAGAAACGGAGGUGACUCGUGGUCUCAGGGCUGGGGAGAAAGUACCGUCCUGCACCGCCUAGAGGUGCUGAGAACCUGGAAAGAGCCACUCCAGGCUUGCAGCCCCUGCGGCUCCGCAGAGCACCUUUUCGAGGCCUGGAGUCACCUGGUGUCCUCCCAGCAGCCCCAGCGUGUGAUACCACCUUGCUGCCCGCUGUGACGUCAUUCAAGCUCUACCUCAGGGCCUCUGACCACAGCCUGGGUGCCUCAGGAUGCUGGGGCUGGAAGUCCGAGGUCAAGGCGACAUUGUAAAGGCCAAGGGACUGUCUUGGGCUCCUGUGCGUCUCAGCCCGAGGACAUGGUUCUGGCUUCAACAUAGGAACCUGAGGGGUCACUUCCUGCCUGUAGGCCAUGCCUACAAACAUUAUUUAAAAAAAAAAAAAAUCAAUGCGCUGCUCCCACUCUAACAGUGAGGCCCGGGAGGAGAGUAAUUUAUCAGGACAUGAGUUUCAGCGUGCAUCUGCCUGGCGGAGGGAGAUGUUUGCAGACUGGAACGGUCGUGUUGUUUUAACUCCCAACACUCCACAGGGCACGGCUGUCACUGCGUGUUCCUCCUAAGUGACGAGCCUCGUGUGGAAGGCUCCGGGCGGAGAGGGAAGGACCGGCUUCACUCCUCGGGCUCAGCACUGGGAGGACCUGGUCCACGGCACGCAGAGUGGGGCCGGGGACAGUGCGGGGGGGGGGGUGGUGGCCUCGGCAGAGCUCGGUUCUGGGCGGUUUCCCUUCUCCUGCAGCCCCUGUCAGGGCCGCCACCCCUGGCAAGCCCAGACAGGGUGGAGGACCCCUGCACGACUAUCCCUGAGUAAAGGGCAGUAGUCUCCAGCUCAGCUACA